rnacentral:rRNA from 1 species
GACGAACGCUGGCGGCGUGCCUAAUACAUGCAAGUAGAACGCACAGUUUAUACCGUAGCUUGCUACACCAUAGACUGUGAGUUGCGAACGGGUGAGUAACGCGUAGGUAACCUGCCUGGUAGCGGGGGAUAACUAUUGGAAACGAUAGCUAAUACCGCAUAAUAUUAAUUAUUGCAUGAUAAUUAAUUGAAAGGUGCAAUUGCACCACUACCAGAUGGACCUGCGUUGUAUUAGCUAGUAGGUGAGGUAACGGCUCACCUAGGCGACGAUACAUAGCCGACCUGAGAGGGUGAUCGGCCACACUGGGACUGAGACACUGCCCAGACUCCUACGGGAGGCAGCAGUAGGGAAUCUUCGGCAAUGGACGAAAGUCUGACCGAGCAACGCCGCGUGAGUGAAGAAGGUUUUCGGAUCGUAAAGCUCUGUUGUAAGAGAAGAACGGGUGUGAGAGUGGAAAGUUCACACUGUGACGGUAUCUUACCAGAAAGGGGCGGCUAACUACGUG